AACGAACGCUGGCGGCAUGCCUAACACAUGCAAGUCGAACGAGACCUUCGGGUCUUGUGGCGCACGGCUGCGGAACGCGUGGGAAUCUACCCUCAGGUUCGGAAUCACUCAGAGAAAUUUGAGUUAAUACCGGAUGAUGUCGUACGUCCAAAGAUUUAUCGCCUGAGGAUGAGCCCUGUUAGGAUUAGGUAGUUGGUGAGGUAAUGGCUGACCAAGGCGACGAUCCUUAGCUGGUCGGAGAGGAUGAUCAGCCACACUGGGACUGAGACACGGCCCAGACUCCUACGGAACGCAGCAGUAGAGAAUAUUAGACGAUGGGCGAAAAUGUGAUCCAGCAAUGCCGCGUAAGUGAUGAAGGCCUUAGGAUUGUAAAGCUGUUUUACACGAGGUGAUAAUGACAGUACCGGGAGAAUAAGCACCGGCUAACUCCGUG
rnacentral:rRNA from 1 species